GCCUACAUGAAGCUGGAGUUGCUAGUAAUCGCGAAUCAGCAUGUCGCGGUGAAUACGUUCCCGGGUCUUGUACACACCGCCCGUCACACCAUGGGAGUCGGAAAUGCCCGAAGCCGGUGACCAAACCAAUAAGGAAGGAGCCGUCGAAGGCAGGUCUGAUAACUGGGGUGAAGUCGUAACAAGGUAGC
rnacentral:rRNA from 1 species